UUGUGAAUUUUUUGAUCAAAACACUUUGACUCAUAGUUUUUUGGUGAUUUUUCUGUCAAAAAAACUUAGAUUCAUACAAACCCAGAUACAUAGUUGUACAUAAGUGUACCAGUUGUACCUAAACACUUAGAUUCAUGAAUAACAUUAGAAACCAAAACACAUUUGAACACACCAAGUCUUCUUCUGCUUCUUCUUCUCCUUAUCCUUCUCUUUCUCCUUCUCCUUCUCAGUCUCAGUCUCAGUCUCCUUUUCUUUUUCCUCCUCUCGUAAUAGAGAAACAAAUGUUAUAGGCUAAUAUAUACGUACAAAAAAUUUCAUCUAUGUCUGCAAUCCACUCCUUAUUAACUUACUUGAAACCAGAUUUCUUCCAAAAUUGACCAAGAGAAAUCAAUCAUUUUAAGAAGAGUUUACAAACAAAGUUACAACUUUCACUCAAUAUCUCCAAAUAAAAACAAGAAAAAGUAGCUACAUGUCGUCCGAAUUUCAAACCCGAAUUGUAAUUCAAAUCCUAUUAGUAAUCUUAAAAUCCGAACUGUAAUCAUAAAAAAUCCUAAUUGUAAUCGAAAUUCCAUUCAAAAUGCAUUUGUUUCAAACAAAAUCAAAGAGAAUUACAUAUCAAACCCUCACAGAGAAGAAUAAAUUGGAAGAAAUCAAAUCCUAAUUAAACCCAACACAAUAAAACAAAAUUAGGGAUCAAACAAAUGAAAUCUUACAAAGAGAAGACACGGCGGAGUUCUCACGGCGGAUUUCUCACGGCGGAUUUCUCGAUUUCACUGCGAAUUUCUCACGAAGAAGAAGAGAGAGGACGGAUCUUUGGAUCGAUAGAAACGAGUGAAGAGGGAAGAUGAAAAAGAUGAAUGAGUAUCGAUGGAAUCGAGAAAAGAGAGAAAAAAAAAGAAGAAAGAAAAAGAAGAAAAGAGAUUGAAAGCUUUGUGUUUGUCGGAUUGUUGACUCGAGACAGAGAGAAACGAAGAAGAUGAAAAAGUCGUAGCGAGGAGAAAUAAAAAAGGUGAUUUGGAAAUUAGUGUUUGGAUUGACUUUGGGGAUAAAAAAUCCGAAAGUCAUAUGGAUCUAGAUCCAACUGACUGGUUGGAUCGUAAAUAAGUGAAAAUUCCUUGUUUUAUU
rnacentral:lncRNA from 1 species